rnacentral:lncRNA from 1 species
CCGGAUCACUAUCCCUAUGUCGAGCUUUCUGCGACAAAAGUUGCAGGCUAGACAAAAAAAAUGCCCCAACCUGGAUUACCAAAUUGCCCCACUUGUGAACUGUGUUAAAUCCUGUUAAUAUUACUCCUGCCAACUGGUCCCACCUAAUGGAAAUGGGUGAAAUCUAGAUAAAUAUAUUAUUAACCAGGAUGAAUUUAGUAAUGCCAACUCGCCCCACUUAUGGAAAAAGAUGUUAUUCCAUUGAAUAUAAG